ACCGGGCCGGAGCGAACCCUUAGAAGCGACCUUGGCCCGUGAGGAAGCCAAUCAGCCAGAGACAGAACAAUCCAUCCACCAUGAACAGCCUGUUCUCGAGCUCAUGGAAGCGCGACGGCGGGGACAUCGAGUCCGGCGGCGUGGAGAUGUCUGCGCCGCCGGGCGCCGCGGCGGGCGCGAGCCUGGACAGGUUCUUCGAGGACGUGGAGUCCAUCAAGGACGAGCUCCGCGACCUGGAGCGCAUCCAGCGGUCGCUCCACGACGCCAACGAGGGGGGAAAGUCGAUGCACGACGCGGCGGCCGUGCGCGGCCUCCGCGCGCGGAUGGACGCGGACGUGGCCGCGGCGAUCAAGAAGGCCAAGGUGGUGAAGCUGCGCCUCGAGUCGCUGGACCGCGCCAACGCCGCCAACCGGUCCGUGCCCGGGUGCGGGCCGGGCUCCUCCACCGACCGCACCCGGACGUCCGUCGUGGCCGGGCUGCGCAAGAAGCUCCGGGACUCGAUGGAGUCCUUCUCGUCGCUGCGGUCCCGCGUCGCGGCCGAGUACCGGGACACGGUGGCGCGGCGGUACUUCACGGUCACGGGGGCGCAGCCCGACGAGGCGACCCUGGACGCGCUGGCGGAGUCCGGGGAAGGGGAGCGGUUCCUGCAGCGCGCCAUCGCGGAGCAGGGCCAGGGGCGCGGGGAGGUGCUGGGCGUGGUGGCGGAGAUCCAGGAGCGGCACGGCGCCGUGGCGGGGCUGGAGCGCAGCCUGCUGGAGCUGCAGCAGGUGUUCAACGACAUGGCCGUGCUGGUGGCCGCGCAGGGGGAGCAGCUGGACGACAUCGAGGGCAACGUCGGCCGCGCCAGGUCCUUCGUCGACCGCGGACGCGAGCAGCUGCAGGUGGCGCGGAAGCACCAGAAGAGCACCCGCAAGUGGACCUGCAUCGCCAUCCUCAUCCUCCUCGUCAUCAUCCUCGUCAUCGUCCUCCCCAUCGUGCUCAAGGGCGUCAAUAAGAACUAGGCCGCCUGGCCUGCGUAAUUCGUUCUAGUUUUUUUUUUUCGUGGCCUUUGUAUCAUACAUACGGUUCGUUGAUACGGUCGUCUUGAUUAUAUUUUCUUCUAUUGCCUCAACCUUCGAUUACAUGGUUUUGUUUAUAACACAUGAUUCAUUUUCUUUUGCUGUCGAUGUGCCUUGGGGAAAGAUGAGCGAGCUUAGGUCGGAACUUGCGGGUCAAAACCUGCUUUUGCGGUGGUUAUUGACUUUACUCGUACGCAGCACGCACGCCUGUGACCUGACGCACUCCCGGUCUUCCUCCUAGUCGGGCUCGGGCAUAUACCGGGCCAGUCGCCAGGGCCGGC
rnacentral:misc_RNA from 1 species